AUUGAACGCUGGCGGCAGGCCUAACACAUGCAAGUCGAGCGGAUGAAGGGAGCUUGCUCCUGGAUUCAGCGGCGGACGGGUGAGUAAUGCCUAGGAAUCUGCCUGGUAGUGGGGGAUAACGUCCGGAAACGGGCGCUAAUACCGCAUACGUCCUGAGGGAGAAAGUGGGGGAUCUUCGGACCUCACGCUAUCAGAUGAGCCUAGGUCGGAUUAGCUAGUUGGUGGGGUAAAGGCCUCCCAAGGCGACGAUCCGUAACUGGUCUGAGAGGAUGAUCAGUCACACUGGAACUGUGACACGGUCCAGACUCCUACGGGAGGCCGCAGUGGGGAAUAUUGGACAAUGGGCGAAAGCCUGAUCCAGCCAUGCCGCGUGUGUGAAGAAGGUCUUCGGAUUGUAAAGCACUUUAAGUUGGGAGGAAGGGCAGUAAGUUAAUACCUUGCUGUUUUGACGUUACCAACAGAAUAAGCACCGGCUAACUUCGUG
rnacentral:rRNA from 1 species